UCUACGGGGGGCUGCAGUGAGGAAUAUUGGUCAAUGGACGAGAGUCUGAACCAGCCAAGUAGCGUGAAGGAUGACUGCCCUAUGGGUUGUAAACUUCUUUUAUAAAGGAAUAAAACGCGGCACGUGUGCCUUUUUGCAUGUACUUUAUGAAUAAGGAUCGGCUAACUCCGUGCCAGCAGCCGCGGUAAUACGGUGGAUCCGAGCGUUAUCCGGAUUUAUUGGGUUUAAAGGGAGCGUAGAUGGGUUGUUAAGUCAGUUGUGAAAGUUUGCGGCUCAACCGUAAAAUUGCAAUUGAUACUGGCAGUCUUGAGUACAGUUGAGGUAGGCGGAAUGCGUGGUGUAGCGGUGAAAUGCAUAGAUAUCACGCAGAACUCCGAUCGCGAAGGCAGCCUACCGGCGCGCAACUGACGCUCAUGCACGAAAGCGUGGGUAUCGAACAGGAUUAGAUACCCCAGUAGUC
rnacentral:rRNA from 1 species